GACGAACGCUGGCGGCGUGCCUAAUACAUGCAAGUCGAACGCUAAAGCCAGGAUCUUGCUCUUCUUUGCUGAGUUUCGCACGGGUGAGUAACGCGUAGGUCACCUGCCUUGUAGCGGGGGAUAACUAUUAGAAACGAUAGCUAAUACCGCAUAACAAUGGGUGCCACAUGUCGUUUCUUUGAAUGGGGCACUUUUUCCACUACAAGGUGGAUCUGCGUUGUAUUAGCUAGUAGGUGAGUUAAUGGCUCACCUAGGCGACGAUACAUAGCCGACCUGAGUGGGGGAGCGGUCAAACUGGGAAUGAGACACGGGCCAGAGUCCAACGGGAGGCAGCAGGAGGGAAUCGGCGGCAAUGGGGGAAACCCGGAACGAGCAAGGCGGCGUGAGGGAAGAAGGAUGUCGGAUCGUAAAGCUCUGUUGUAAGUCGAGAACGGGGGUGAGAGUGGAAAGUUCACACUGUGACGGUAGCGGAACAGAAAGGGACGGCUAACUACGUG
rnacentral:rRNA from 1 species